AUGCUCGCUUCAGCAGCACAUAUACUAAAAUUGGAGUGAUACAGAGAAGAUUAGCAUGGCCCCUGUGCAAGGAUGACAUGUAAAUUUGUGAAGAGUUCCAUAUUUUU
rnacentral:snRNA from 1 species